rnacentral:rRNA from 1 species
GUUGACGUAAAGUGAAACUGCGAAUGGCYCAUUAAAUCAGUCUUGGUUUAUUUGGUCUCGAGAGCGAAGUGGAUAACUGUGGCAAUUCCAGAGCUAAUACAUGCAAUUUAGCGCCGACUUCGGGAGGCGUGCUUUUAUUGGAUCAAAACCGACCGGGUUCGCCCGUCUUUUUUGAUGACUCUGGAUAACCACGCGGAUCGCACGGUUUUGAGCCGGCGACAUACCAUUCAAGUGUCUGACCUAUCAACUUUCGAAGGUAAGCUACGGGCUUACCUUUGUGAUAACGGGUGACGGGGAAUCAGGGUUCGAUUCCGGAGAGGGAGCCUGAGAAACGGCUACCACAUCCAAGGAAGGCAGCAGGCGCGCAAAUUACCCAUUCCCGACACGGGGAGGUAGUGACGAAAAAUAACAAUACAGGACUCUAACGAGGCCCUGUAAUUGGAAUGAGUACAUUCUAAAACUCUUAACGAGUAUCCAUUGGAGGGCAAGUCUGGUGCCAGCAGCCGCGGUAAUUCCAGCUCCAAAAGUGUAUGCUAAAGUUGUUGCGGUUGAAAAGCUCGUAGUUGGAUAUUGGGCGAGCGUGGUCGGUCCGUCGCAGGGCGUGCACUGGUUGCGUUCGCCUCGGCUUCGGUUCUCCGUCGGUGCUCUUGACUGAGUGUCGGCGGUGGCCGAGAAGUUUACUUUGAAAAAAUUAGAGUGUUCAAAGCAGGCUGGUCGCCUGAAUAGUGUUGCAUGGAAUAAUGGAAUAGGACCUCGGUUCUAUUUUGUUGGUUUUCUGAACGGAGGUAAUGAUUAAGAGGGACAGACGGGGGCGUCCGUACUCUGCCGUUAGAGGUGAAAUUCUUGGAUCGGCGGAAGACGAACUACUGCGAAAGCAUUCGCCAAGAAUGUUUUCUUUAAUCAAGAGCGAAAGUCAGAGGUUCGAAGACGAUCAGAUACCGUCCUAGUUCUGACUAUAACGAUGCCACUAGCGAUCGGGAGGCGUUACCAUGACGACCUUCCCGGCAGCUU